CUGAGCGGAUAUUUCCGGUUAUGACCGUUGUUUGACAGAUCAGGACGGACCGUCGCUUUCAGUGCCUGUCAUUGAUGGCCCAGCUGUGCGUUGAGGUAGAAUGGGACAGAGCACAUCGGGCCCAGAGUCCGCAGAAGCUCCACAGCUGGACCGAUUUGGAAACAUCAAGAGUUUAGUGGAGGAUCAGCUGCAGACCAGCAUGGUGGUGGGAAUCGUAAUCGGCGCUGGAGUCGUCAUCGUUCUCAUCGCUCUCCUCAUAUUUUUUGUCCUGCGCAGGAUGCAGCUCCGCAAACGUGAGGCUCAGGAAGCCCCGAAGUAUCGUUUUCGUAAAAGAGACAAAGUCUUGUUUUAUGGGAGGAAGAUUAUGAGGAAGGUGUCUCAGUCCACCUCUUCACUAGUGGGCUCCACUUCUUCCUCCAGGCCCCGCCUAAAAAAGAAACAGAAGAUGCUGAACAUUGCCAAAAAAAUCCUGCGCUUUAAGAAGGAAGUGCCCAUUCUGCAGAUGAAGGAACCUCCUCCGUCAGUGCUGGAGGCAGAUCUCACCGAGUUUGACGUGGCCAAUUCUCACCUGCCAUCUGAGGUGCUCUACAUGCUCAAGAACGUGCGUGUGUUGGGUCACUUCGAGAAGCCGUUGUUCCUGGAGCUGUGUAAGCACAUGGUGUUUCUGCAGUUCCAGCAGGGUGAAUAUGUCUUCAGACCCGGUCAGCCUGAUAGCAGCAUAUAUGUCGUACAGGAUGGAAAGCUGGAGUUGUGUCUUACUGGACAGGAUGGAAAGGAUGGAGUGGUCAAAGAGGUUUACCCUGGAGACAGUGUUCACAGUCUACUGAGCAUCCUUGACGUCAUCACAGGUCACCAGAGACCAUAUAAGACGGUCUCAGCGAGAGCAGCAGAAGUGUCCACUGUCCUCAGACUGCCUGUCGAUGCCUUUCUGUCCAUCUUUGAGAAAUACCCAGAGAGCCUUGUGCGGGUGGUUCAGAUCAUCAUGGUCCGUCUUCAGAGAGUGACUGUUCUGGCCCUGCACAACUACCUGGGACUUACCAAUGAACUCUUCAGCCAUGACAUACAGGCUCGUCCCUCUCCUGCCUCUCCUCAUCCAACACGCUCCAGUCCCGUACGACACAGCAGACGCUUUGCCAGUCUCACCGUUCCUGAUAAACAUCGUGAGGCCGCCGUCCAAAAUGCUACUGGUGGGGAUCAUGGGAAGGAUGGUGGCACAACACCGACCCUCAGUAGGACUAUAUCCAUGCCUGUAGACAUCGCAGGAAUUCAGAAGAGUCUGCGUUCAGAUUUCGACAUGGCUUAUGAGAGAGGCCGUAUCUCUGUAUCUGCUGAGGAUGGAGCGCCCACUCCACCUGCUUUCACACGAGAGCAGCGGGAGAGGAAGGUGACGGUGGAUGAGGUUCCUUCAAGUGUGUAUUUGUAUCCUGAGGAGGAGUCAGGAAUGGAGAACAUUUUUAGCCCAUUUCAAGGACGACCUAAUGCUACAGUGUUCGAGGAGGCCCAGAAAGAGAUUCUCAAACUCAUGAAGAUUGAGGACCCUGCUCUGCUGAAUGGGAGGGUGACGUUUCAUAAUGCUAAAGCUGGAUCUGUGUUAGCCAGACAGGGAGACCAGGAUGUGAGUCUGCAUUUUGUCCUGUCUGGCUGUCUUCAUGUCUAUCAGAAGAUGAUUGACAAGCAGGAAGCAGUGUGUUUGUUUGUGACCCAGUCGGGUGAGAUGGUAGGUCAGCUGGCUGUACUCACAGGAGAGCCGCUCAUCUUCACCAUUAAAGCUGAGCGUGACUGUACCUACCUCAAGAUCUCCAAAUCUGACUUCUAUGAGAUCAUGCGUGAGCAGCCGAGUGUAGUUCUCAGUGCAGCUCACACUGUGGCUAUCCGCAUGUCCCCGUUUGUACGGCAGAUGGAUUUCGCCAUUGACUGGAUGGCUGUUGAAGCCGGACGGGCCCUGUACAGGCAAGAUGAUCAAUCCGACUGUACCUAUAUUGUGCUGAAUGGACGACUGCGUUCUGUCAUCCGAAAAGCGAAUGGGAAGAAGGAGCUGGUUGGAGAGUAUGGACGAGGAGAUCUCAUUGGAGUUGUGGAGGCUUUGACUCGGCAGCCUCGUGCCACCACAGUCCAUGCAGUCAGAGACACUGAGCUGGUGAAGCUUCCAGAAGGAACGCUCAACAAUAUUAAGAGAAGAUACCCACAGGUGGUGACACGCUUGAUCCAUCUGCUGGGGCAGAAGAUUUUGGGGAACCUUCAACAGCCCCGUGGACCUUUCUCAAGCUCUGCCUUGGGUCUGCCAAGCAUGGCGUCGAGUCCGGAUGUCACUAACCCAGCCAGUAAUCUCUCCACUGUGGCCGUGCUUCCUGUUUGUGAUGAAGUGCCAAUCAGUGCCUUCAAUUUAGAGCUCAGCCACGCCCUCAGCGCCAUAGGACCAACUCUGCUGCUAACCAGUGACAUCAGCAGAGAGAGACUUGGCGCUUCUGCGUUGGACAGUAUUCAUGAGUACAGGUUAUCAGGUUGGUUGGCUCAGCAGGAGGACAUUAAUCGUAUAGUGCUGUAUCAGACGGACAGCAGUAUGACCCCAUGGACUCAACGCUGCAUCCGACAAGCUGACUGCAUUCUCAUUGUGGGGCUUGGAGACCAGGAACCUGCACUUGGAGAGUUGGAGCAGAUGUUGGAGAACACAGCAGUACGGGCCCUGAAGCAGUUAGUUCUGUUGCAUCGUGAGGAUGGGCCGGGCCCGUCGAGAACCGUUGAAUGGCUAAACAUGCGAAGCUGGUGCUCUGGACACCUUCACCUAAAGUGCCCCCGUAGAGUUUUCUCACGGAGAAGCCCCUCCAAACUGCGAGAGGUAUAUGAAAAGGUUUUUGAGAAGACUGCAGACAGACACAGUGAUUUCUCACGGCUGGCCAGAGUACUAACAGGAAACAGCAUCGCCCUCGUACUGGGUGGAGGCGGAGCCAGGGGCUGCUCGCAUGUUGGUGUAAUCAAAGCCAUGGAGGAAGCAGGAAUUCCCAUCGACAUAGUGGGAGGAACUUCCAUUGGCUCGUUCAUUGGUGCUCUGUAUGCAGAGGAGAGAAGUGCUGUUCGGGUCAAGCAGAGGGCGAGAGAGUGGUCCAAGGCAAUGAACUCUGUGUUCAAAACGGUACUGGACCUUACUUAUCCAAUCACGUCCAUGUUCUCUGGCUCUGCCUUCAACACCAGCAUCUCCAAAGUCUUUGAGGACAAGCAGAUCGAGGACUUGUGGCUGCCUUACUUUAACGUGACCACAGACAUCACAGCUUCUUCUAUGCGUGUUCAUAAAGAUGGCUCCCUGUGGCGCUAUGUCAGGGCGAGCAUGACCCUUUCCGGGUACCUGCCACCCCUCUGCGACCCUAAAGAUGGAAACCUGCUCAUGGAUGGAGGAUACAUCAACAACCUGCCAGCGGACAUAGCUCAUAAUAUGGGCACAAAAACAGUCAUCGCCAUCAAUGUGGGCAGCCAGGAUGAGACUGAUCUCUGUAACUACGGUGACAGUCUUUCUGGCUGGUGGCUGCUAUGGAAACGAAUCAACCCGUGGGCGGAGAAAGUGAAGGUGCCUGACAUGGCUGAAAUCCAGUCCCGUUUGGCCUAUGUAUCUUGUGUACGGCAGCUGGAACUUGUCAAGAAGAGCGCAUACUGCGAGUAUAUUCGGCCACCCAUCGACCGCUUUAAGACCAUGGACUUUGGGAAAUUUGAUGAAAUCUAUGAUGUGGGUUAUCAACAUGGUAAAUUAGUGUUUACUGAGUGGGCUCGUGGGGACAUUAUUGAAAAUAUGCUGAAAGACCAUCGCUCUGCGGAUUACAAAGACAGCAAGAAGACUGAUUCAUGCACGUGUCCUAGUGCAGACUUCACUGAUCUAGCUGAAAUUGUGUCCAGGAUUGAGCCGGUGCUGAGCUACUUGGGAGCUGAUGAAGAGUCUGACUAUGCGACAGAGUAUGAGGAGGACGGGAUGGACACAGUGAGAGAGGAGGAGGGUGAGGAAGAGGAGGAGGAGGAGGCUGAAGACCCUGAGGACCAGUCCCCUGGAGAAUGGGGACCAAAUGGGAUCUUCACAUCAGAUGAAGAGAAGACAGUCCGUCAGAGGAAGAACAUCACCAGGGACCCCAACAUGGACUUCUCUGGAGUGUCAGAUUGCUGAAAAGGGAGUAAUGCAGGGUCAAAGGGCACUGGAAAGAGAAGCAGAGUCCCACCAGGGGCUGAAGAAUAUAAAGACAAAUACAGAAGAAAAGACUUCUGAAUUAAUAAGAUUGUUGGAAAGUCACCAAAGAUACUGUGAUUUACACCCCAUUAACACAUUACCCACAAUUUGUCACCAAAACUGUGACUCUCUUUUACGCCUUUGGGAUUUUUUGUCGCUCAAGACUCUACAACAGGGUCCAGGGACUGUGGGGGCCCAGCAAGGCAGAGGAACCACUCCUUGAGAUACUUUGCCUCUGAAAUUAGGGGCUCUACAUCUUUUGAGAUGUUUUAGGAGUUUCAUGGGAAAUUAUGUCUACAGUAGUGGCCAGUAUACCACUAUCAUUAAGUUCUGGUUUUCCUGUCUGUUUCCAGACAACACCAGUUCAUACUAGAAAUAGUGUCUGGUUUGUGAUUUUUAUUUAAUUGAAUUACAUGUGUGUGUGUGUGUGUGUGUGUGUGUGUGUGUGUGUGAGCAAAAUAAAACCCCAACAGUGAAGGGUGACCCGCCACUGUCUCACAGGAAAUUACAUCCAUGAAGCUGUAUAUCCCUCAUUCGAGGUCCUCAGAAUAACAAUCCAGCAUCAUCUAGUAUAACAAUAAUCAUCCUAAUGACAACACCACUGGUUUGAAUCGGUUUUUAUCGAUGACACCUUUGGUGUGUAAUGCUGCUGGCAUAUCUAUAAGGUCUACUGAGAGAAUGACGGACAGACAGACAGGCAGGCACCACAGUAUCUGUGAUGAACAUCAACACCAAACAGGAAAUCAGUCUUAUGUCGACAGCAAGUAUCCUAUUAGAGAUUCUAUUUGGCAUCUGAAAGGAGUGAAGAAACUAUUGGGAGGUAAAUAGUUGCAGCUCAUUGUUGAAUAUAGUGUUAGGAAAAACGAAGCAUGUUACAUAUUUUCUGACCUUUUGAUUGAUUUGUCAAUCCAAUUAAUUGGAAAACUAAUGGACUUCCAAAAUGGCUAUCAUGAUCAGAUCCCAAAGGAAUCUGCAAACUGCUGAAUUUGGGGCAAAAUCUCUAGUCUUACUUGACUAAAAAUGUGUUAACUGAAUAGUCAAAUUAACAAUAGCGCAACCAAAACAGAGAAAAUAUUUAAAGAGGAGAACGUAUUACAACUGAUGCGUUUGAUUAGAAUAAAACUCAUGAAUUUAUCCACCGCAGGACAGACACAGGAGGACAAUUACAAAAAUAUCUGCCUGCGUGACCCACAGCUGAUGGUGUGUAACAAAGGAAAUCUAGCUCAAAUAUAUAUAGAUAUUACCAGCUGGUGUCUAUUAUUUUGUACAAAUAACUGGAAGUCAUUCUUAUUAGUUGCCUACAGUGAGCGGUGAUGUUUGUAUGAGGUUGGCAUAGUGCCGUAGUUUCAACAACAAAACUAGAUAUAAAUAUAGAUAUAGGUCUAUACAUUCUCAAUUUUCUUCACUUCCUUGCAUUCUCUUUGCUUCUUAAAGGAUGACAUUAUGCAUUUUACAGGUAAUUAUUUUCCUAUUUGGUAAAUGUGUAGAUAUUGCUGUGUUUUAUGCAUUUGGUUCAGAAAAAAAAAAGGAUUUUCCUUUGGGGAAUAUAAUCACUGACAGCAGCAUCUAAAGUAAACAGUAGCAGCAAGUAAGAUAAUAAAUAAAUAUAAUAAUAGUAAUAAUAAUAGCAGAUAAUAACAGUUUCAAGGAUAAUGAAAAACAGUAAGAUGCAUAACAACACAAACUAAUUAACACCUAAAAAUAAAAAUUGGUACAUUGGUUCAAAACAAUUGAAAGCUUUUAUGCAACGUCCAGCUAGCUCACAACACUGUGAUCUAGAAAACAACCAACACCUGUUAACUGUAAGCCCUCAGCAAACCUCUAAAAAUGAGCUGAUACUUUCUGUAAGACUUCACUGGAGACUUUCUUUAAUACUUUCUAUAUGCCUUCCUCCAAUUUUCCCUUCCCAUCCCGUUAUUUCCUCUGCUACGUUCAUUACUCUUUCUUCAAUCCCUUAUAUAUCACCAUACUUCCCGUCUCAACGUACCGUUACCAUCUACAUCUUUUUCAUAUUUUCUUUUUCUUCUCGCACUCUUUCUCACAGUCUAGCAGUGAUUUUGGCUUUUGAAAGCAGUGAAUCUCAAACUCUACAGCUUUGGUUGUGAAAGUCGCUGAACAUCUUCAGCACAACCCACGAGCAGGUGCUGAAAUCCUCUAAGAACAACAGCUUGGCAGAAAAAAA